rnacentral:rRNA from 1 species
GCACAUGUACGAUUAUACCAUGAUUGGNUCUGCGAGUAGCAUGCAUACGCGUAGAACGUAUCCGAACACGCAAUCUCUGUGCACAUACGACGUGUAGAACCUCGCUCGACUGAGGAUCUACCGCGAUCGGUUCUACCUACUGUGAUGCGUUAUGCCCCUCAUCGAUCUGCCCUCUGCAUUGUCCUGCGUGCGAUCAGGCUGUUGUUAGACGUAAUUGGCCCACCUUGACCUUUUUCCGCCACUUCGCUCUGAGAGGAAGAACCCGAAAAUGCCCACUGAAUCGACCUUCCAGGCCCUAUGGCACGCAGCAUGCGCGAAGCCUCUGCCCUAUGCGAACGCCUGACAGGCUUACUCUGAGUGAUUCCCGCUAAGGGAAUCUUUUGACAUCUCUCAGCGUGCUGCAGACCACUCCUUGCGCUUUCCUCGCUGUCUUCGCCGCGCUAAUACCAGCACCUCGAGUGGACCUCACGAUCAUUGGGCUCUCUUUAUCCGUCACACGUUCUUGCUUUAUCUUCCGCUCGAUCCCGCUGCUUAUCAGAUGGGCUGCGGAUCAUACUACGAGGCUUCGACCUGAUAGACGCAUUUUCUACUCUUUGCGUAGGAGUCCACUCUUCUGAUCCAUUGACUAUUGCCCCUGACUGAAGCAACUUGCCACAAUACCCUCGACGAUUCUUUAUGAUUGCUGGGGAAUCUGACCAUAUCAGAUCCCCGGUUAGUCACAGCUGUAAACUAUCAAACUCUAUGAUCAAUUGUCUUUAUGUUCACUCAGCGCCGGCCUGCAACCGGUAACUUAGCCCCUCAGAAGACCACUCCCCCAAAAACUGACUUUACCCCCGAAAUUAACGGCACC